UGGAUCUCUCCAUUUCUCUCUCUCUCUCUCUCUCUCUCUCGCCAUCUUCCUCCGGCAUCGGAAUCCGCUCCUCUCUCUCGCUCUCUCCGUCUCGGAUCAGAGGCCGUCCCUCUCUCUCGCCAUCUUCCUCCAGCAUCCGAAUCCGCCCCUCUCUCUCGCUCUCUCCGUCUCGGAUCAGAGACCGUGCCUCUCUCUCGCCCUUUUCUGGCCCCCGACUCUCUCUCUCUCUCUCUCUCUCUCUCUCAGGUGCGAGAGAGAAAGCAUCGACGUCGGUGUCAGAUGAUAUCACAGAGCCCUUCAUCGCGCUGAUUUCACUAGAAAGUCUCCAUCUCAGAGGAAACGCGACUGGAGCUCUGAACUGAAAAGCCCUAAUUUCCGUGGUAUUCUCUAUCUGGUCAACUGGCGAAAUGGAUUUUAAUACCUUGGAGAGUCUACCAUCUUCUCAACCGUCUCGAAGGUUAGAUUUUGAUAUUGAAAUGGAUGAUCAAGGAGCAAGUCAACAAUUAGACAACCAAGGGGCAAGAAAAGAUUUAUGGAAAGAUACAUAUGAGAAUUUAGAUGAGGAGCCAAAAGUAGGAAUGGAGUUUGCCUCUGACGAGAGUGCAUUUGAGUUUUAUAACAAGUAUGCUAGGAUUGCAGGGUUUAGUGCUCGAAAGGGAUGGGUGCAUAAAUCAGACGAUGGUAUGGUCAUACUUACCAGAAUAUUUUGUUGUUCUAAAGAAGGUCAAAGGCGUGAAAAUAAACAAAUUGUUCAGCGGAAGUUUAACCGACCAAUUACAAGAACUCAAUGUCUGGCAAACAUGAAGAUUAAGCUUCAGAAGAAUGGGAAAUACAUUGUGACUAAGUUUGUGGCAGAGCAUAACCAUGAGGUUAUUCCACCAGCGAAGGUGCACAUGUUGAGGUCACAUAGAGGCAAGACUAAGGUUAAAAAAGCUAAAGAAGAUAUAGUGGAUGAUUUAGAAGUAACACCAAAAGCAACUGUAGAACUUUUAAGUAAACAAUCUGGAGGUCAAGAGAAUCCAAGUUUCGUACCCAAUGAUUACAAAAAUGACUUACGGAAGAGGCGAAUGAAAGCGAUGGAAAAGGGUGAUGCAGGAGCUGUUCUUGAAUACUUUCAGAAAAUGCAAGUGGAUAAUCCAUCUUUCUUCUAUGCGAUACAAGUUGAUGAAGAUGAUCGUAUCACGAAUAUGUUCUGGACAGAUGCAAAGGCAAGAAUGGAUUAUAGUGUGUUUGGAGAUGUUGUUUCCUUCGAUACCACGUACAAAAUAAAUAGUUAUGGACGGCCAUUUGCUCCAUUUAUUGGAGUAAAUCAUCAUAAGCAAAGUAUAGUAUUUGGUGCGGCGUUUCUAUAUGAUGAAACAAUCGAAUCUUUCAAGUGGUUGUUUCAAACGUUUUUAAGUGCGAUGUCCGGAAAACAGCCAAUAACAAUCUUGACAGACCAAGACACUGCAAUGGUCAAUGCAUUAGCUUCAGUGAUGCCGGAAACAUAUCAUCGUCUCUGCCUCUGGCAUGUCUAUCAAAAUGCUGCGAAGCACCUUAACCAUGUAUUUAAAGGUUCUAAAAGUUUUCAAUAUGAUUUUAGUAGGUGCAUAUAUGAUUAUGAGGAGGAGCAAGAGUUUGUAAAUGCAUGGAAUGGCAUGCUCGAGAAAUAUGAUUUAAUGGAAAAUAGGUGGCUACAAGAUCUGUUCAAGGAAAGAGAAAAAUGGGCAUUGGUUUAUAGCAAUACAUUCUGUGCAGACAUGAAGAGCACGCAACGAAGUGGGAGUCUGGGUAAUGCGUUGAAAAAAUAUUUGAACUCUAAGUAUAAUCUGCUGCAUUUCUUCACUCAUUAUGAACGGGUACUGGCUGAUCGGCGAUACCAAGAGAGCAUAUCUGAUUUCAAAAUGAGGCAAAGUACUCCAGUAAUGUUUCUUGAUGUGAAGAUGUUAAAUGAAGCGGCAAAGGUGUAUACUCCAGAAGUGUUUGCACUGUUUCAGGAAGAGUAUAAGAAAUUUAUUAGUCAUUCAAUUUAUAAAUGUGGUGAGUUUGGCACAGUUAUUGAGUAUCGUGUUAUCUUCAAUGACAAAAAUGAAGCACGUACUGUUAAAUUCGACGCUUUAGACAAUACAGUGAGUUGUAGUUGCAAGAAGUUUGAGUUUGCAGGGAUCUUAUGUAGUCAUGCAUUGAAAGUUUUGGAUUGUUAUAAUAUAAAGGCGCUUCAACCCCGUUAUAUUUUGAAAAGAUGGCAAAGAGAUGCAAAGAUAGGUUUUGGUAGAGAUCAAAUUGGGUUACCAAUAGAAGGUGAGCGCAAUGUUACUUCAGCUAAGCGUUACAAAUAUUUGUGUCGCAAGCUUCAUAAACUUGCUGCAAUUGCUGGGGAACAUGAUGACCUCUUCAAAUUCGCCGAUAGAUAUGCAGAUAAUUUUCAUGAUGAACUGAUGGAACGUAUGAAAGGGCUGAAGGAACCUCCACUAAUGUCAUUUGAAGCUAUUGAUGAAAGUGUAGAUACUGAACGCGCACGCCUUGAGCCGACUGAAAGUAUAGAUGUUGAAUGUGCAUGCUCUGAGCCAACUGAAAGUGUUCAUACUGACGGUGCGCGUUCUGAGCAAGCUGAAAGUAUAGAUAGAGAAAGCGCACGCCAUGAGCCGAAUGAAAAACAAGUUACUGUUGUUGAAACUCAGAAUUCACAAACUGCAAGUGGGAUUAAAGCGAAGCCUGGGGUUGGGGGCAGCCGUCGUGCCUAUAAAAAUCCCUUGGGUAAAGUAAGGAAGAAAAAUUCCCAAUCUGAAUCCAUUCAGCCACAAGCAAAUCAAGAGAGACAAGAAACAGCCCAAGCAUCAAACAUCACACACCCUACUUCAUUUCAGCCUUCACAUUAUCCAUGUACAUUCCCCACAUUCAAUCAGGGUUCACAUGUUACUGUGGUGAGUCCCUUAGAAAUAUCAAGUGGAUCCCAUGAAGAACAUGGUCAUCGCAUGGUGAUGGGAUAUACUCCUAGCCGCAGUGGAUCCAUAAAUGCACAAUUGACUCAAUAUGAGUACCAAGUACCUAAUACUAGCAUGUUUCAACAAAACAUUUUCAACAUUGGAGCUCAGGUAGAGAAUUCGGUUGUUGCAAGACCGAAUCAUUUCGAGAUACCCAGGAGUGGUACUAGUGACCCUUCCAACAAUCCGCAGUUAUCGCAUUUACGUCAACAAUCAUCUACCGGAAGCGUUGCGUUCAGUCAGUCAUCAUCACCACUACCCAAUAUCAAUCAGUCAUUGGGGUGUGAAGACCACAACCUACGGUUGAAUAAUUAGAUCUUUUUUCAAAGGUGCAGUGAUAGGCUGACAAGACUUGCACAUGAAAUUCUACUUAAAGAUGGCCAUCGAAUUUAAAGAUUAUGCAUAUUCCUCUCUAGAAAUGAAUCUGUGGAUCGGAAUCAGGAGAGUUGGAACCAGCCAAUAAAAUAGAAAUCACUCAAAGCUUUACAACCAACAAGCUUUAGCCUUUCCAACACUUCCUGCUGGGGCAUACUUGUGCAGGUUAUCCCAUAAGUUAUGUGUGGCAAUCAUGGAGGAUCACAAGAUAUUCAAUUGGCCCACUAGUUUGCAAGCUCGAGGAAGUAAUUUUCCCCAUUCCAAACAAUUGCUUUCAUAUCUGCUGAAACUGAUAAUCUCUCAAGUGAUUCUUAGAGUCCAGAAUCUGCCCAUGAAGUUUUUGCAAUCCUCCAAGAGAGCAAUGAUGUCUAUGUAAUCCCCGGACUUCAGUUGUAUCCAAUGCUUGUAAAGUGCUGCGGAGGUGGAAAUUUUGAAUUACAGUUAGAAGUUGCUGUUUGGAGGGAAUUUUGUUUUGUAUAUAUUUAAAUUUGUAUUGCUUUUAUUUGAAAGCAGAUUCAUUGCUGGUA